UUCAGUUUGGUGAAUAGUUCAAUUUAGUUCGUUCGUUCACGAACGACACAACACUACUUGUAGUACAUUUAACAUAAAAACUAUGGAUACUUAUGUUGACUGCUUCUAAAAUAAUUGCCGCCUGGUUAUAAAACCUAAGCAGGCAUGUAGUCCGUUGUCAAGGACACACAGGUCAAAGAAGGCAAGGCGUCGCAGGAGCAACAACGCUCAGCAGACGGCGAUCGCCGGAGGAAUCCUCUGUAAAAUACUAAAAUAAAGCUACUUUAGUCUGAAACCACACUUUAAUUAGGUAUUAAACAAAAUAUCUUAUCAGAGGUAAUACUUCUUCCUUCAUCUAGCAGCAUUGGAACUCUCCAAACAAAAACAAAACAAAGUUAUUUCGUUCGAAAUAUUGAUCUAAAGAUAAUGAGACUUUCCCCUUGAUCAAAUAAAUAAUCAUUUAAAGGUUCAUUUUCCAACGCGAAAAUUGUAUCUAAAACUUUGUUAAAAUUAAUAAUGUAGCGUACCAAAGAAGCAAGAAGAAAAAGAAUCAAUAUAUUAAUAAUAAAUUAAAAUGGCAUGAAAAUGCAUUUUUCUCAACCUUAUAACUUAUAAAAGUAGCUUAUCAAAACAGAGUCGUCUUUAUUUUUUAAAAGGGUACAACCCUUUGCGGUCAAGUGGAAAAAUAAAGCAAGCAUAAAGAAAGAGAAGCAACACUACCAAUCUGGAUUGUGGACAUUGAAUAUUUCAACAAUGAAUAUUU
rnacentral:sRNA from 1 species